rnacentral:lncRNA from 1 species
GGAAAUGCACAUCACAGUAGUAUGACGACCCUCCACAAGCUAUUAUUUUUACCUUUGACUAUCUUCUUACCGGGAUACAAUUCUCCCGUUUAGCCAGGCAUGCCAGCUCCCAGUGUGUACUUCAGGUUCUUAGGAGGCCAAAGUAAGAGCAUCAAAACUUUGAGGCUGCCGGGCGGUGGUGGUGCACGCCUUUAAUCCCAGCACUCGGGAGGCAGAGGCAGGCAGAUUUCUGAGUUCGAGGCCAGCCUAGUCUACAAAGUGAGUUCCAGGACAGCCAGGGCUAUACAAAGAAACCCUGUCUCGAAAAACCAAAAAAAAAAAAAAAAAAAAAAAAAAAAGCCAAAAAAAAAAAAAACCAAAACCAAAACCAAAACCAAAAAAACCCCUGAGGCCAGCCUGGGCAACUCAGGGAGACCAUCCACACAUUCACCACCCUGUUAGCAGUCCCAGCCCAUGUUUAAAGUCACAGGCAACCCCUAGUCCCCUAGUCUCCUUUUGAUGCCAGCAGAUUUGCCUACUCGGCAUGUUUAACAUGAAAUGGAAUUGUGUGGCACGUGCCUUCCACGACUGGCGUCUUCCUCUUUGUGUUCUCGGUUCUUGCAUCCAGAAGCAUGGCCCUAGUGUACUUCUUUUGAUUGCUGAAUAGCACCUUGAACGCACCUACAUCUCACUCCUCCUCUAAGCAGUUUGUAGAUGCUGGAUUGCUUCUCUGAAUCACACCGCUGUGAACUUUCGUAUGCAAGCCUUUGUGUGGACAUGAACUUAGAGUUUGCACUAGGUGGAACUGCUGGCUCAUAGAGGAACUCUAAUUUUAACUCUAGUUUAAGGAAGUGACAGGCCAUUUUCCAGAGUAGCUGUGUCAGGUUACUUUUCCAUCCACAGUACACAACUCCAGUUUCCUUACAUCCUCGCCAACAGUUCUGAUUCCUUCUCAUUUUGAAAACCUUUUACUUACUGUGUAUAGGGGCAUGCGCAUGUGUGCACAUGUGUGCCGUGGAAUGGGGCAGAGGUCAGAGACAAAUUUGGGAAGUGGAUGUCUCUUUCAUCCAUGUGGGUCCCUGGGAUUGACUUGGCAACAAGUGUCUUUACCCAUGAGCCAUUCUGCCUGUUACCCCUGUUCCCUGCCCCCCCUACCCCCAUUAUAGCCAUUGUUGGAAAUAUAAGGGAGUCUCUAACUGGGUCUUGUAAACCUUGUGGUAAAAUAUAUGUAAACAUAAAAAUCGCCAUGUAAGGGACUGAAAGAUGUCUGGAGGUUAAGAGCACUUGUUACUCUGUAGAGGACCUGAACUCCUAGGUAGUACCUACAUCAAGUAGCUUAUAAUUACCUAUAACUCCAGCCCCAAAGGGAUCUGAUGCCCUCUUCUGGCCUCCUUGGGCACCCAACACACACACACACACACACACACACACACACACACACACACACACAGCAUAAACUCCUCCUCCUCCCCUGGUCCUGGCCACCUGUCUUCUGUCCCUAUUGUUGCCUGUCCUAGCCGCACCGUGUAAAUGGGAUUAUAAAAUAUGUGUCCUUCUGUUUCUGGUUCCUUUCCCUUGAUGGUUUUAAGGUCUGUCCAUGAUGUCAUGUGCACCAGAAUGUCAUUCAUUGUAAGACUGAAUAUGCCAUGGCUUUGUGUCGUGUUUCCUGUACCCAUUCAUCUGCUGAUAGACAGUUGGGCUGCUCUCCCUUUUAGACCACGGUUGGCACACACUGAUAAAACAGUUUAUGUUUGCUUCUGGCUUUCGUUUUCAUUUGUGUGAGUCAAUGCAUGUCCAUGUGUGGUUAUGGAUAUGUGUCUCUGUCUCGUGCAUCUCACUAUAUCACCUUGGCUGGCCUGGAACUCACAGAGAUCCACCUGUUUCUGCCCCCCCCCCCCUGCUUCUGCUAUAUUGCUAGGUUUAAAGACUUGUGACACUCUGCUGGCUCUUUUGUUCCUUUAGGGGUCCUCCCUGAACUCAGUCCUUGAAUUUUCUCAGCUUGGCUAGAAGCUGGCAAGCCCCAGAGAUCUUCCUGUCUCUGCCCACCGCUGAGCUGGGGCUACAAGCAUACAAAGGUGCCUAGCUUGUUAUAUGGGUGCUAGGAUCUGUGCUCCAGUGUUCAUGGUUGUGUGGCACUCUUAAUUGCUGAGCUCUCUCUCUAGAACUGUCUAUUUUUUUUUUCAAUUAUUUGAAUAUAAAUCUGCAGCAGAAUUGUUUAAUUUUUUUUUUUCCACAGUGGCUAGAACUUUUCGGCUUCUAUUGGCUAGGGGUUUUGGUCUCUCCCUAUGUUCAGCCACACUUGCUAUUUUGUAUGCAUUCAUUGUGUGGUGUGCACAUAUUUAGAGAUCAAAGGAGGAUGUCAGGUGUCCUGUGCUGUCCACUUUCUGCUUUUUUUCCUUGACUCGGGUGUUUCUCUUAGCCUAGAACUAGGCUGGCAACCAUAGCCUAGAGAUCCUCUGUUUGUUCUUUGCCCCUACGAUGUUGGAGUUACAGGGUAUACCAGCCAUCUCCCAUGGGUGCUGGGUCUUUGAAUUCAGAUCCUCAUUCUUGUUCAGCAUCUGUUCUUACCCAUGAGCCAUCUCUCCAGGUCAACAGUUAUUUACCUCCCACUCAUGGGGAUGGAGAAAUGGCUCAGCGGUUAAAAGUGUAUUCUGCUGUUGCAAAGGACCCACAUUUGGUUCCUAGCACCAACAUCAAGUGGCUUACAAGGACUUGGAACUCCAGCUCCAGGGCACCUCACAACCCUGGCCUGUUCAGUUACCUGCAUUCACAGGCAUGUAACAUCCAAUUAAAAAUGAUAAAAAUAAGUCCUUGUUUGUUUGUUUGUAGAUAGGGUGCCUCUGUGUAGCCCUGGCUGCCCUGGAACUCACUCUGUAGACCAGGCUAGCCUCAAACUCAGAGUUCUGCCUACCUCCACCUGGCAAAAAAUACAUC